UACGAAGGGGGCUAGCGUUGCUCGGAAUCACUGGGCGUAAAGCGCACGUAGGCGGCUUUUUAAGUCAGGGGUGAAAUCCUGGAGCUCAACUCCAGAACUGCCUUUGAUACUGGGAAGCUAGAGUCCGGAAGAGGUGAGUGGAACUCCGAGUGUAGAGGUGAAAUUCGUAGAUAUUCGGAAGAACACCAGUGGCGAAGGCGGCUCACUGGACAGUUACUGACACUGAGGCACGAAGGCCAGGGGAGCAAACGGG
rnacentral:rRNA from 1 species